rnacentral:lncRNA from 1 species
GAGAGGGUCUCAGGCCUUCCAGACAUAUUCAAAGGCGGUUUCUGGCGGUCUUCUCCCCUUUGCCCUCCUGGAGUUCAUCCUCACUUGUGUGGUCUCACAUUUUGGGUGCCAGGCUACCUGCUGCAGACAAUUUGAGAAUGUGGCAGUGAUUCCAACCGUAUUCAGUUUCAACCCAGCCAAUACCACCACCAGCCCUGUCAAUGCUACCACUGGUCCUGUCAAUGCUGCCACUGGCCCUGUCAGUGCCACCAAUGGUCCUGUCAAUACUACCAUUCACCCUGUCAACACCACCACCAGCCCUGUCAACACCACCACCAGCCCUGUCAAUGUUACCACUGGUCCUGUCAAUGCUAACAUUGGCCCUGUCAAUGUGACAACUGGCCCCGUUAACACUACCACUGCCCCUGCCAAAGCUACCACCAGUUGUGUCAAUGCUAUCCACACCAGCAAUGUACCCCCGAACCCUCGUACCAAGAAAUAGCUGAUUUGCACAGAGAUAGAUGACAUGGGAUGCCUGUCUCAAUGACAAGGGGAUACACUGUAGCUGUAUCUUUUCUUCUCCCUGAAACUUCCAUGACCAUGACCCUAGCCUUGUUGCCAGACUGAAAUGAACAAGCAUUUCCUCUCCUCUUCACUCCUAAGCUUCAUUUUUGUUUGUUAUUGAUGUCUUUUUUUUCAUUCAUAAAUAAUUUUCCUUUGGCUCUCAGUAUCUUUUAACCUUGGCAAAGUUCAGGGUGCAUUUUGGUUCCGUGGUUCCUGAUGUAUGCUCACUGUUGAAAAACCGGUUCUAAAUCGGUGCCUCAGCCAUGGAAUUCUUGUAGGUCCAACUUCUUCCCAGUCCGCAGCUCUAACUCUGACACGGUUCUCCCACACAGAGGAGGGGGAGCAAUGUGGAGUGUGUUCAGUAUUCCCAGGUGUAGGAGGAGGAAAAUCUUUGUGACCUAGAGUUAGGUGAAGAGUUUUUAAACAAGACACCAAAAAUACAAUUCACAAAAGGAAAAAAAUCAAUAAGUUGGACUUAGAAUUAAAAACAGUUGCUCUGUGAAAGAUCUUGCUAAGAUAAAAAGUCAUAGGCUGGAAGAAAAUAUUUGCAAAUCAUAUAUCUGACAAAGGACAUGUUUCCACAAUAUAUAAAGAACUCUCUAAACUCAACAGUAUAAAAAAAAAUCUAAUCACAAAAUGGACAAAAGGCUUGAACAGAGGCUCUAACAAAGAGAAUAUAGGGUUGCAAAUAAGCGUAUGAAAAGAUGUUCAAUGUUAUUAGCCAUUAAGUACAAUGAAAUAACACUACACACCUAUUAGAAUGGCUGAAAUUAAAAAUACUGAUAAUACCAAGUGCUGGUGAAAACAGAGCAACUGGAGGUCUCAGAUGUUGUUAGGAUGUAAAUGGCACUGCUACUCUGGAAAACAGCUUGGCUGAUUAUUAUAAAGCAAAGUAUACACUUACCAUAUGACUCAGCAAUCUUGUUCCUGGGUAUUUAUCCUAGAGAAAAUAAAACUUACUUCCAC